rnacentral:lncRNA from 1 species
GCCUCCCAAAGUGCUGGGAUUACAAGCGUGAGCCACUGCGUCUGGCCUCCACUCUUUUGAAAAUCUUUACCAAGGGAUGUCUUGGUUCUCUUUCAAUGGCGGAGACAGCAUAUGUGUUUGUGCAUUACUUGAAGAUCUUCCACUCUACCAGAUGAAACUGGGAAAGGACAAUGUACCAAAGAGUAUCCAAGCACAGAAGGGAAUCUCAGUUUGAAGUUAGAAUUGAAUCCAAGAGGAAGAGAAGCAUCCUUCCUUCAGUGCCUUUGUGGUGGUGCUUGGUGAGAGAUAGUGGUGAAGGCAUUGCCUAAAGAGAGAGGCACUAACAGGCAGAGGAGUGGUUGAGACCAGUAAGAACUGCCCUGCCUGGUGGAGCAGAGGCAGAAGCUGAUGCCCAGGCUCUGCAGCAUCUAUAGGGAACUUGGUGCCUGCAGUGCUCAUCAAAUGAUCCAGAGGCCUCCUUGAACACUGCAAAACCCAGAAGAAAUUACCAUGCCAACGGAGCAGAACCAGAUCCUUUGGGGAAACACAGCGCUGGUGGAAGAACUAUAGCUCCAGUAAGCAAAUGUGGUGCCUGGUGGGUGGUUGCUGAAUCAGUGUGUGUUUGUGAGCAUAUGUGAGACACCCACUGAAGAUGCCUAAAAACACCUCUAGAAACUGACAUUUUAAAAGGAGACUGAAGUCCUGCAUUAUGCAGGUGCUGUGAGCCUGUGACUAUUGGGUUAUUCCACUUAAUGUGACUUACUUGUAUCUACAAGCUAGUGGAAGCUGGGUGCCAUAGUUCAGAUAUUUUUCCCCCAAAACCUCAUGUUGAAAUUUGAUCCCCAGUGUUGGAGAUGGGGCCUAAUGGAAAAUAUCUGAGUCAUGGAGGUGGAUGCUUUAUGAAUGGAUUAACCUCCUCACUGUGGGGGUGGUGAGUUCUUACUCUCUUAGUUCCCAUGAAAGCUGGUUGUUAAAAAGAGCCUUGCAGGGCGCGGUGGCUCAUGCCUGUAAUCCCAGCACUUUGGGAGGCUGAGGUGGGUGGAUCACCUGAGGUCAGGAGUUCAAGACCAGCCUGGCCAAUGUGGUGAAACCCCGUCU